AUGGUGCUUGCUAAAGUUUCCAUUAUGAAAAAUGAAUCCUACUCUAUAGUGUCUUGGAACGUUCGAGGUCUUGGUGACAAUGAUAAAUGUGCUAAUGUGUUCUCUGAGAUUAAUCAACUACGCCCAUCGAUCGCUCUUUUUCAAGAAACUAAACUUCUCAAACCAGACACCAUUAAAAUACGCUCGAUCCUACCACGCUUCCUAGACUCAAACAACCAUCUAGACGCUAUCGGUUCUGCGGGUGGCAUUCUCUCUGCCACUAACUCACGCUGUUUCACACUUCUCAGCUGUGACCAUAGGCGUUUUAGCUCCACCCUCACCCUCUCUUGCCUUGCCUCGCAACACGCCGUCUAUAUCACCAACGUCUACGCUCCUUCGCAAAGGGAUCUCAAAAGAGAUUUCCUGGAUGAGCUUAAACAAACUGAACCACCACCACAAUCCCCCUGGCUCCUCAUCGGUGACUUCAAUCUGAUUCGCUUCCCCAAUGAAAAGAACAAUAAUAACUUUCGCUGA
rnacentral:rRNA from 1 species